rnacentral:rRNA from 1 species
UACGGGGGGAGCAAGCGUUGUUCGGAUUUACUGGGCGUAAAGGGCGCGUAGGCGGUCGUGACAAGUCACUUGUGAAAUCUCCGGGCUUAACUCGGAGCGGUCAAGUGAUACUGUUGUGCUAGAGUGCGGAAGGGGCUACUGGAAUUCUCGGUGUAGCGGUGAAAUGCGUAGAUAUCGAGAGGAACACCUGCGGCGAAGGCGGGUAGCUGGGCCGACACUGACGCUGAUGCGCGAAAGCCAGGGGAGCGAACGGG